AGAGUUUGAUCCUGGCUCAGGACGAACGCUGGCGGCGUGCCUAAUACAUGCAAGUAGAACGCUGAAGUCUGGUGCUUGCACUAGACGGAUGAGUUGCGAACGGGUGAGUAACGCGUAGGUAACCUGCCUCAUAGCGGGGGAUAACUAUUGGAAACGAUAGCUAAUACCGCAUAACAGUAUUUACCGCAUGGUAGAUAUUUGAAAGGAGCAAUUGCUUCACUAUGAGAUGGACCUGCGUUGUAUUAGCUAGUUGGUGAGGUAACGGCUCACCAAGGCUUCGAUACAUAGCCGACCUGAGAGGGUGAUCGGCCACACUGGGACUGAGACACGGCCCAGACUCCUACGGGAGGCAGCAGUAGGGAAUCUUCGGCAAUGGGGGCAACCCUGACCGAGCAACGCCGCGUGAGUGAAGAAGGUUUUCGGAUCGUAAAGCUCUGUUGUAAGAGAAGAACUGUGAGAAGAGUGGAAAGUUUCUCACUUGACGGUAUCUUACCAGAAAGGGACGGCUAACUACGUGCCAGCAGCCGCGGUAAUACGUAGGUCCCGAGCGUUGUCCGGAUUUAUUGGGCGUAAAGCGAGCGCAGGCGGUUUGAUAAGUCUGAAGUAAAAGGCUGUGGCUUAACCAUAGUACGCUUUGGGAACUGUCAAACUUGAGUGCAGAAGGGGAGAGUGGAAUUCCAUGUGUAGCGGUGAAAUGCGUAGAUAUAUGGAGGAACACCGGUGGCGAAAGCGGCUCUCUGGUCUGUAACUGACGCUGAGGCUCGAAAGCGUGGGGAGCGAACAGGAUUAGAUACCCUGGUAGUCCACGCCGUAAACGAUGAGUGCUAGGUGUUGGGUCCUUUCCGGGACUCAGUGCCGCAGCUAACGCAUUAAGCACUCCGCCUGGGGAGUACGACCGCAAGGUUGAAACUCAAAGGAAUUGACGGGGGCCCGCACAAGCGGUGGAGCAUGUGGUUUAAUUCGAAGCAACGCGAAGAACCUUACCAGGUCUUGACAUCCCGAUGACCGCCCUAGAGAUAGGGUUUCUCUUCGGAGCAUCGGUGACAGGUGGUGCAUGGUUGUCGUCAGCUCGUGUCGUGAGAUGUUGGGUUAAGUCCCGCAACGAGCGCAACCCCUAUUGUUAGUUGCCAUCAUUCAGUUGGGCACUCUAGCGAGACUGCCGGUAAUAAACCGGAGGAAGGUGGGGAUGACGUCAAAUCAUCAUGCCCCUUAUGACCUGGGCUACACACGUGCUACAAUGGCUGGUACAACGAGUCGCAAGUCGGUGACGGCAAGCUAAUCUCUUAAAGCCAGUCUCAGUUCGGAUUGUAGGCUGCAACUCGCCUACAUGAAGUCGGAAUCGCUAGUAAUCGCGGAUCAGCACGCCGCGGUGAAUACGUUCCCGGGCCUUGUACACACCGCCCGUCACACCACGAGAGUUUGUAACACCCGAAGUCGGUGAGGUAACCUUUUAGGAGCCAGCCGCCUAAGGUGGGAUAGAUGAUUGGGGUGAAGUCGUAACAAGGUAGCCGUAUCGGAAGGUGCGGCUG
rnacentral:rRNA from 1 species